rnacentral:misc_RNA from 1 species
UUGAUUUUGUUUGUUUGUUUGUUCAGACGGUACAGGUACUGCAAGAGGUUUGUGGUUGGGUCCAUCGGCGGGCGGACCCGCCGAGGAAACGGACGGUACUCGAAAGGGCAAGGGUUGUAUCUCAGCGGGGCCGGAGCCCCACGUUAAUGAUCCUUCCGCAGGUUCACCUACGGAAA